rnacentral:rRNA from 1 species
UAGGGAAUCUUCCGCAAUGGGCGAAAGCCUGACGGAGCAACGCCGCGUGAGUGAUGAAGGUCUUCGGAUCGUAAAACUCUGUUAUUAGGGAAGAACAAAUGUGUAAGUAACUAUGCACGUCUUGACGGUACCUAAUCAGAAAGCCACGGCUAACUACGUGCCAGCAGCCGCGGUAAUACGUAGGUGGCAAGCGUUAUCCGGAAUUAUUGGGCGUAAAGCGCGCGUAGGCGGUUUUUUAAGUCUGAUGUGAAAGCCCACGACUCAACCGUGGAGGGUCAUUGGAAACUGGAAAACUUGAGUGCAGAAGAGGAAAGUGGAAUUCCAUGUGUAGCGGUGAAAUGCGCAGAGAUAUGGAGGAACACCAGUGGCGAAGGCGAUUUUCUGGUCUGUAACUGACGCUGAUGUGCGAAAGCGUGGGGAUCAAACAGG